rnacentral:tRNA from 1 species
GGUGUAGCGCAGCCUGGUAGCGCGCCUGCUUUGGGAGCAGGAUGUCGGGGGUUCAAAUCCCUCCACC